GAACGCUGGCGGCGCGCCCAACACAUGCAAGUCGAACGAGCGAGAGAGAGCUUGCUUUCUCGAGCGAGUGGCGAACGGGUGAGUAACGCGUGAGGAACCUGCCUCAAAGAGGGGGACAACAGUUGGAAACGACUGCUAAUACCGCAUAAGCCCACGGGUCGGCAUCGACCAGAGGGAAAAGGAGCAAUCCGCUUUGAGAUGGCCUCGCGUCCGAUUAGCUAGUUGGUGAGGUAACGGCCCACCAAGGCGACGAUCGGUAGCCGGACUGAGAGGUUGAACGGCCACAUUGGGACUGAGACACGGCCCAGACUCCUACGGGAGGCAGCAGUGGGGAAUAUUGCACAAUGGGGGAAACCCUGAUGCAGCGACGCCGCGUGGAGGAAGAAGGUCUUCGGAUUGUAAACUCCUGUUGUUGGGGAAGAUAAUGACGGUACCCAACAAGGAAGUGACGGCUAACUACGUGCCAGCAGCCGCGGUAAAACGUAGGUCACAAGCGUUGUCCGGAAUUACUGGGUGUAAAGGGAGCGCAGGCGGGAAAACAAGUUGGAAGUGAAAUCUAUGGGCUCAACCCAUAAACUGCUUUCAAAACUGUUUUUCUUGAGUAGUGCAGAGGUAGGCGGAAUUCCCGGUGUAGCGGUGGAAUGCGUAGAUAUCGGGAGGAACACCAGUGGCGAAGGCGGCCUACUGGGCACCAACUGACGCUGAGGCUCGAAAGUGUGGGUAGCAAACAGGAUUAGAUACCCUGGUAGUCCACACCGUAAACGAUGAUUACUAGGUGUUGGAGGAUUGACCCCUUCAGUGCCGCAGUUAACACAAUAAGUA
rnacentral:rRNA from 1 species